UAUAUGCCAAGUCCUUUCCUAUCUUUAUUAUUGAAAAUAUUCCCAUAUGUAUACACAAAGCCAUGUGGAAGCUCUUUCGUAAUUUUGUUAAUCUAUCACUUACAAAUUCUUCACACAAUGUGAUACAAUACACAUACAAUGCAACAAAGAAAACAGAGCUGUAGCUUGAUUAGUCAAAUCUUAUUUAUUGCAGCCACACAUCAGAUACUAUGUUUAGAUUGGUGCCCAUAUUUUAGGCAAAAUUAUUUAGAUCAGAGGUUCUCAAAUAGGAUGUCCACGAUAUGGAGCAGACUGGGAGAUUAUGCCAUGGCAUAAUAAUAAUAAUGGGAUAAAAGCGAAACAAGAGUGGUCAAGGAAAUGUAGGUAGUGAAACUAAAAUGCGGAUUAUGUGAUGAUAACAGUAUUGGUAGUAAAUAGGAACAAAUCUGGUUUUUCUGUGUUGUAUCAAUCCAUGUGAAAUGAAGAACAAAACCAUGUUACUUAGAAAAUUCGCAAUGUUAGAUACAAUAGAGCUGAUGGAAGUCCAGCAUCAACAAGACUUGGCAGCUACACAGUGGUUGAUCAGGAAAAUCUAUGAGGUCUCUGCACUAUCAGCCAAAGAUGGGAUUUCCAAGGUUCCAGAUAUUGUAGCUAUCUGUGUGACUUCUCCAUUAGCAGCAAGUAGAAAAGUCCUCAGGCCCAUGGGAGGGUGGAUAUGAAUUCGGAUAAAAAGGAGAAAGGGGGUCGUUCCUAAAGGCUGGGUCUGCCUGGAAUGGAAGAAAGGGAGCAAACAGCAACAAGAGACAGACAUCAUUACUACUCCUCCACAUGCUACCUGCCCUCUCUUUUCUUUCUUUGUAUUCUUUCUACUACAAAUCCAGAAAUUCUAAAACAAUGUCUAUAGGAACACUGAGAAAAUGCAAGAUCUAUCUGGGCAAUAUCUCUUACUUACCUGCCUUCAUAGAGAAAGAGCAAGAAGAGGAAUUCUGAUUCAAGCUCUCUAAAUGAAUACCCUGCCAUUUCCCUUUACACACCCUACCCCAUUUCAUCUGGCAAACAUAGACAGCUGUUAUUUUCUCUUUGCUCACAGGUUCCUGUCUUUUCCAUUUAUCCAAAUCCCACCCAGCCUUCUUGACUCAGCUCACAUCUCAGCAAAUCUACCCUUUUUUUUUAAAAAAUCCAGUUCACAUGCUUGAGCUCUACCUCUCUGCCAAAUUCUUAGAUCAUUUCAAGUCUGUAGCUUACAAUUCAGUACUUAAUAUAUCAUCUAUUCUUUGUUGUUGUUUCUUGUAUCUUAAUCCUCUUACUCUGCUUAACAAAAUUGCAAAUGAUACAAAGCUGUUUGAGAUAGCUAAUCACAGAAAAUACAAAUUACAAUAGGCAGGAGUAAUGGGUACAAGUCACCAAGCCAAAAUUUGAUAGGAACAAAUGAAGAGUCUGACCUUGGCCAAUAACAAUAGCAUGCCGUGAACAGCCAAGCAUGGUUAACUCUAUUCUGUGGACUGUAGGUCCAUUAAAAAAAUAAUAAAAUGAUAAAAUUCUGUACAUAGGAUUGAAAAUGGAGUUGCAUGUAUAGAAUAGCAGUAACAUAUUACAAAAUUGUUUCUAUAUAAGAAGGAACUAGGUCUUUCAUUUAUUCAUUUAUUUUUAUGCACUCAUUAAGCAUUUAUGAUGACCUGAGAUGUGCCUCACAUUAAGCGAGGGUGGGGGGAAAGAAAAAUGAUCUGCCUUUCUCCUCAAGGAUCUCACACAUUGCUAUGCAAACUGAAGACUGGUCUUCACUACGGGGAGCAAAAAAUAUGGGCAUGUUCAAAAUGCUGGAUAAAAGCAAAAGCUCAGUAUUAGUUAUCAAUAUGCAAAUUAUAGCGGAUAAGGGGUCCAUGCAAACUGAGACUGAUUCCAGGGUGCACAGUGUCUGGAAAGAACAAGGGAGAAGGUGAUACCACAAUCCUCAUGCAGGCAGACCAGAAGAGGGAUGCUGUUAGCUUCUCAAUAACACAUAUUAUGAAAAGGAUUAGGAGAUUACGGUGUACUUUGAAGAGGACCACAGAAACUUUAAAGAUAUGGGAAAUGAGUCUUAUAAUUACAAAUGACAAAAGAACAGAAGAAAUAAAGAAGAGAUAAAGAUGAUUAUAUUUAGACACUUGAAGGACCCACGUAGGGAAAAGGGAUAGACUUGCUCUGAAAACAUAUAGAAGGCAAAAUGGGAUGUAUGACAGAGUGGCAAAGAGGCAGAUUUUGUCUAACUAACAAGGAGAAUUUCCUAACAGUAAAAGCUGUCCAAAAUGAAAACAUGCUGCCUUGGGAAGGAGAGUCCUCAAGUAAAUGACCCACUGUCCAGCAGAAAUUUUAUUGCGUCAUGCUUAACAUUCUUACAAUAUCUAAUAAUGAUGAAGAUUUUGAUGAUACUUAUAAUGAAACAUUUACUUCCACACUACUUACUGAGAAUCUAUUAUCUUCUAGGUACCAUAUUAGCUACCAUAUAUUUAGCUAGAGUAUUUUGCGAUUGCUGAAACGGGACACUGGCAUAACUGAUGGAAAGAUAUCAAUAGGCCAAGUUCAAGGAUAGGCAAGUAGGCACAUACUCCCAGAGGAAGUACGGGCUUUCUAGAAAACCUGAAGUUCCCCAUAAGGGCAUUGAGUUGCUGUUGAUCCCACUGCAGUAAGUGAGAAAUCAGACGCAAGAAGUUCUGUUAAUUCUUGUAGAAGGUUUUGUAAGCUCCAUUCUCUACUCCUCGGCUGCUGUAGAAAAUCUGUAAGGUUAAACCGCCCACCAAGUGCAAUGGAGUGGGGCAGAACAAUCCUGGAGUUGGCUACAUGAGAGUGUGUAUCAAAGGGGGAUUGCUCUAGAGUAGGCUGCCCUAAGUCAACCUUGGCUUCAGGCUUGGCAAUUUUAUAGGGAAAGUGGGCUGGGAGGUACAGAUGGAAUGGACAGUCUGUGACUAGAUUCCAGCUCCUACAAAAUCUCAAAUUCUCAGAAGGGUUUUUUAAAUCUUUCAAGUACAGGUACUUAUGAAUCAGACCAAGUACCAAAAAUGGCUAAUUUUCCCAAUCUGUUAGGAAUCAGAUUCUGUAUUUACGUACAUAGAAAAAUAUCAUAAUUACGUAUAUCCACAUUUUCUUUAAUGAAAACAUGUUGAUUUGUAACUAUUCCUUACAUUCCUCCUUACAUGGGCUGCAUGCCAUGGAAGGCGGUACCCCUUUCUUACCCAUUUUUGCAGUGGACAACAUUGGUACCCAGAGCAUUGCAGACUGAUGCUGUGUUCCUAUCAUAGUGUGCACAAGGUUCAGCAAAAUGGAAUUGCAAAGUGACAAAGGAGAAGCACCGCUCUCAGGGGCCCAGGAACCCCAGAAAUAGUAAGAGAAUGCUGGCCCCUGUAUGAACACUAUGAAACAGUUAAGAAACAAGAUGAUCAGUCUUCAUUACUACUACAACAUACCCAGGGUGCAGGAACCCGGAGCUACCAAGAUUUCAGUGAUAUGGACAAACAUUGAGCUUUCAAGAAGGCAGGAAUGUCCUUUUUAGCCAAGAGGAAUCAUCCCAGGAAUGGUGCACAAGAACUUCCAACUAUACGUUUAUCUUCUGCAACUAAGAAGUCAAAAGACAUUUCAUGCUCAAUAAUUUAUUUGCUUUUAUUGUAUUUUUAAUGCUCAACUUGUCAAAAAUCAUUAAUAUAUCUAUACCAUAAAAUAUAAUCUUAUUUUUAAGAAAAAAAAUCUUUCAGCAAUCAAUUCAGGGCAAAAGAGAUAUCAAGAAAAGUAGUCUUAUCUGCUCAGUGGACUCCAACUAUUAAUAGAUUAUUUUCCAAAAAUUUCUUUAUAAAUCAGUUGUUUGAAAAUCUUUUAGAUUUCUCCAGUGGGACAAUAUUAUAGCGAUUGAGAUUUCUGGGAGAGUAUUCCAAUGCCUAUUUAACUCCUUAGGCUAUAUGUUCAAAAUGAAACACUGUGAAGUAAAUUUGUAUACUAUAAAACGAAACACCUUUACAAUGCUACUAAUUCAAUAAAACAAACAAAAAAAGUGCUAAAAUGCAAAGAAUAUAUUGUCUAUAUUUUAAGCUAAUACUGAGACAAGCUUUUUUAAUUAGGGGAGAAUGAAAAGGUAGGUAGAGAUUUUACAGAUGUUUUGAAGGGAAUUAGGAAUAUUUUCAAGGAUUUAUAUGUUAUUGGCAGUGGUUCUUGAUUAUUCCUAAUUGCCACUUCAAAUUAUAUGAUGUUCUUGCCUUAAAACAGGUAUGUCACUAACCACUAAAAUUUCAAACAAUGAUUAUCCCACUGUUUGAAUCAUGAUUGCAAUAAUGAAGGUGAGAAUAAAAAAGUUAAUGAGGAAGGAAAUAGAGAAAAUACACCAUACUAACUGGGAAAGAGUUUUAACAGAUAAAGGAGAAAACAAUAAAAUGCAAGUGGAUGUGUUAUGUUGUGAAACAUUAUGUGAGGGGGGAAUACCUGAGCUGGUACUGGUAAACUAAAGAGGAGAAAAGGAGCAGGAUCCAUUUGAGAGAAGAAUAAAGUUAGUUGUGGUAUAGAAACAUUGGAGUCAGACACCUUAGAGCAGGAGACAAGGGAAGAGUAGAAUUACUCUCUUGAUGUUUAAAGUAAUGAGUCUGAGUGGGACUUGAGCUUGUACAAUGACGUACUGAGUGAGAAGCAGACAGAGGAAUGAGAUAAGAAGGGGCAUAAAAGAGCUUUUCUUUAGUAUUGAACAAUGAUACCAGGUAUGUGUCAUCUAUUCAGCCUCUUGAAGUUGAGGCAGGCGUUCCCACAGCCCCACACCCUGUUAAUGAGCCUAGCACAGAAUCUAUACCUGCUUUUCAUUUGUCCAUCCUUGAGGUCUGACAGCCUUCUGCGUGGUUAAGUUAGCUUUAUGCUUCCACCUCCCCAGCCCUCCUAUUUUACCUGAAUCCCAUUUCUGGGUGCAAUCCUGGGAAUUUUUCCGAGGAGAUCAUAAAUUAGAUUGGAACUAGGACUAUUAACAAACACAAAACCAGGGAAAAACUGGAUUUGCAACAAUCCCUGGGGGCUGUGACUUUAUUCAAAUGAAUCAAGUGUGUAUUGAGUGCUGACUUCUGGAUCAGAUGCUAUGCUAUGAAAUUUCACAUUUAUAAUUUCUAUUUAACAUUUAAUCAGUUUUUGGCGAUUAUAUUCUCAGCAACCAUAUACAGGUGCUAGAGGGCUAACUGGCAUAGAUUCAGGUUCAAGUUAGAGAAGGCAGAAACCAGAGCAAGAUCAUGACAGCUGGGGACCACUGGAGAGGAACACUGACAUUCUAACAACAAAAUGGACAACUCCAGUGGACCAAAAUAAGUUGACUAUACCCGAAAUGAUGGAAGAAACGGCGCAAACAUUAACCCUGAAGGGAGAAGGAAGAGAAGAGUCAUAUGUCUUUUGGCUUCAUUAUGGUGACAAAGACAGUUCUGGACGCCUUGCCCAUGCUUGGUACCUGCUAACCUAUUGACUCGAAUACAUGCGGUCUAUAUACACGGGCUCUCCUUUGCUUAUACAACCCAAAGUGAGGAUCCCAGAGAGAGAUGUUGUCCAGGGUCACAAGACCAGUGAAUAUAAGCACUGGAAUGAGACAAUAGAACUUCCAAAGGUGGAAAAAAGUAAUGCUUCCAAAACUCAGGCCAGGAACAUGUAUCCAGAGCAGAGAGGAUUUGCCUAAUUAUCACCCUUGGAGACUCACUGGAGUAGCAGAAGGCUGGGUCUGCUUCUCACGAAG